UCAUAUUAUAUUACAACCGUCGAACUUAAUUUACUUAAUUUAUCAUGGGAUCUUUUUUCCUUUUUUUGGUUGUACCCCUUUAAUCCAGUACAUAAAACCGCAUGGAAAAUCUUUUGAGCUUUUAUUUUUCUUUCACAGAGCGCGAUGGCGUGAGAAUCGUACAAUUUUCAACACUCCUAACCCGAGGUUGAUGAACGUUUCUCUCCUCCGUGAUAGUAAACUUUUGCAUGGACAAGAACGUCGUGGCUCCAGAAUGUCAGUGCGUGCACCUUCACGCCAACCGAGCAUGGCUUCGCUGCGUCCCCAUUCGCCUAAUCCGUCGCUAGGUAAGACAGGACGAAUGCCACGUUCGAAGAGCAAUACACGUUCCAGUGACUCACGCGUUAGCGAUGUCUCAAAUUGCUCUAGAUUGCUCGAGCAUCCACAUAACACUAAUGCCUCAGCAAACGCAUCUGCAACUGCAUCUGCCUCCACCACAGCCACUGCACACUCGCAACAUGCGCCGAACGCAACACACAUAUCACUGACAGCAGCAACAAAUGAUGCUAUCACUACUACAUACGUAUCCGCGCCCGGUGCUGGAACUGCCUGUGGCAUGUCCAUGAACACUUCACCAUCGGUUGCCAUCAGAACGAAUAAAUUUUAAACGGAACUUGCGUUGCUGUGCCGAUUUGAUCAAUUAUUUUUAAUUUGGCCACAAGCAAGACUAUAUCAGCACCACCGACACCAACAUCCACACCGAGACAUACACCGAUAUAGAAAUCAAUACCGUUAACGGUAGCGAUACCGAUUACGUCAUACCGUCAUAUACGGACAAUACCAUUAUUGAACAGAUAUUGUUGCACUACUUCUGAAAUCGAAACUGAGGUUCACGUUCUGGUUCACACGGCAGUGCGAGCAAUGCAUCUGCUACGUCGAUUCGCUCGACGCGUAGCAAUUCUGUAGCACCUGGC